UGUGCCCGGGUGCCCGCCUCACGGAAACGCGGGCCUGGGCGCCUCCCAAGUCAGUCUCGGCUUACGAUCCGGUCCGGUGUAACGUGCCGAGGUCGUGCGCCGCCGCACCUGGAAACGGGCAUUUCUUCAGCGCGCACCGUCAAGCGCCUACUGUGUGUGCAAGAAACGCGAGGGCGCCGGGCCCGGGCCAGGGGGCCAGCGCUUGGUGGGCACUUGGAACAGAGCUCCCUAGCUGGAGCCUGUGUACGCUGGGCCAGCUAAUGGAGCCCUCUCGCGUGUAGUGGUUGGAGGACCGUGCGUGCACCUGCUGUGCCCGCUCAUGCUGUGCGCCUCCGAGGAGAAACGCCUGACCCCCGGGAACUGCUGUCCUCCCAAGGGAGAGGACACCAAAGUGAUGAGGACACUAGGAUGCACUAUGAGCUUUGGAUUCCUCUGGCUGUGCGUGUGGAACGAACUCAGGGACCGUGCUGAGGCAGGAGCCCAGGGAGGAGGUGACGGCAGGAGGCCAGCCCAGCGCCUCAUAGUUCCAUGACGGUGCCAAACGCCUGCGUCUCCUCCUCACAGAGCCACGGCCAAGGCAGGAAAAGGCCUUCACGUGUCCUCUGAAGAAUGAAGAAGCUGUUCCCAGAAGUCCCUUGGCAGACUUCCCCAUCGCACUGGCCACAGAUGCAUUCCAGGUCUACGCAGCCUCGGCCAAUCACUGCAAGGGAAGGGAAAGGGCCAUGUUUGACUUGGGCCAAUCCGCAUGUGCCCCGGGUGCCAUGCAGAGUCUGCCCUGGCCCAACAAGAGGGGAUCCAGAUGGGGCCAGUCUGGCCACGAGCUGUGGACCCCGGAACGGGGGGCACGUUGAGCAUCCCUGAGGCUGUGGGUCCCCCACCUGCCCUUCCUCCCUGGAGAGCCUUUGGGUGGUGGCUGUGAGAGGGGAGGUGGGGCCUGGUGAGGGUUUCAAGUAAAUUAGGUGGCCAGACACCUUCACCUCAGUAAAUAUUUAUAGAGCCAGGAAUGGAGAAGAGGUGGGCGGGCCCAGAGGGUGAGAGUGUAGGGAAGAGGCAGCCUGGGCCAGAGAUACCGGGGAGAGGUAGAGAGACAUGAUGGAGAGACACUGAAGGAGAGACAGGCAUUGAGGGAGAGACAGAGACGUGACAGAGACAAAGAGACACACUUCCAGAGUUGGUCUGAGAGACACAGGGCGAGAGAGAGGCGGGGAGAGAGACAGAGGGAGCCGCGUUGCCAGGAAGGCGUAGGCACCGGUGCCUUGAGCCAUCAGAGGCCUGUGGUGGUGGGAGCAAUGAUGUUGUGGGUGUCCUGUGUCCAGCCUGCGCCCUGCUGUCCUCCUCAGCCAGGUGAGGUAAAGGGUCCUCUUUCUCAGGACUGUCCUGAGGCCCCUAACUUACUGGGAUUCUCAUUGGCCCAGUAUCUUCUUUUGGCCUGUAAAGGGCCAGAGAGGUGAUGGGAAUCGACACCCCAGAGGACAGGGCGACUUGCCCAGGGCCUCGCCGGGAAGGCAGGAGGGAUGUGGGCUCUGGGGGGUGCGAUUCUAAAUCCCGUGUCCUGUCUGUGCCCCACAGGGCUGGGUGGGGCAGGGAGGCGGGUGUCUUACUCUGGCCAGUAACAACAGCUCUGGGAAUAAUAAUAAAAUGGCCACUGUGUUCCGAGUGCUCCCCAAGUGCCGACAGCAGCCGAUGGGAGGAGCUGCUUCAUUCCAGUUAGCUUGUAAUUCCCGUUUACAGAGGGGACGCCUCCCCGGAGAGCCGCAGUGAUCUCCUCCCCACAGAGCGGACAGGCCUGGGUCCUGCUCCACACCUGGCCGGCCGGGCGACCUGGGCAGCCAGUGCCUCUCUCUGAGCCCCAGGUUCCCAUGUGUACAAUAGGAAAACAUCAGUUUCAAGGUUGACAUGAGGGUUAAAUGAGAUGAUGUGCAGAAAGUGCUCAGCAAGGACCAGGUACACAGGAAGCGCUCAGUAGAUAUGAAAUAGUGUGUUGGGUAACAGUUGUAAAGUAAUUUAAAAAAUAAUCCCUUUAAUCGCUCCCCUUUCUUCUGAGGAAGAGCUGAGGCUCAGAGAGGGGAAGUGACUUGCCCAAGGUCACCAGCCAAGUGAAGGAGCUGAGAUUUGAACCCCGUGAGGUCUGAGGCCAGCGCCUACUCCUGGCCCUCUGUGCCACCUUGUCAGCUCAGCCCUGGAUGGCCUGUUUGGGACUCAACCCUGUGGGUCAAGAAGAUGACUGUGGCCUGGCCUGAUAUGCCUCUGGCUUGGCAUCGGCCACGCUCACUUGUUGGGGAGGUUGCAAAACCCCAUUCCCUUCACCAGUCGAUAAAGGGUGCCCAUUGCAAAACACAGCGGAGAAAUUAUUAAGUGUUGUGUCAUCCUGUGGCCAGGCCCUGGGUGCCCCUUUCCUGCCCGGAGGCCUGGGUGGGGCCAACUCCUCGCUCUCUCCCUCCAUUGCCCUGACCUGAGAGAAGCUGGGGUGGGGGUCAGCCGGGGCCUCCGGGGAGUGGGCAGAAGACAGACCUGGCACGGGGUCCACUCAUCGCCCUCCAUUCUCAGGAAAUGGCAGCUUCAUCCUUCCAGGCGCUCUGGCCCAAAGCUGGGAGUGGGGGGGAGGGGGGAGGUCACUGGAUUCUCUUUCCCCACAUCCAAUAAUAGGUCAGGAAGUCCUAUCAGUUCUACCUUCAAAAUACAUCCGGAGCCCACCGGGUCUCCCCCUCUGCUUCCACACCUGGAUUCAAAGCACACCCGCUGGUCUCCCCGCUCCCCGCUUCACUCCUCACAGGCCAUUCUCCACACGUAGCCAAAGGGAUCCUGUUAGAUCCAGGUGGAUCUUAGGUCGGAUCCUGUCCCUCUGCUUCAAACCCUCCGUGGCUCCAUCUCAGAGCACAAGCCAAAGUCUUUUCGAGGGCCACAGGUCCCUGCCUCAUCUGGCCCCAUUGACUUUCUGACCUCAUCUCUCCCAUUCUCUCUCCCUUGCUCACUUAACUCCAGCCACACGGUCUUCCUCCAACAUACCAGGCACGAUCUACCCCAGGGCCUUUGCACUUGCUGUUCCUGCUGCCCAGAAUGCUCUUCCCACAGCUCUUACAUACAGUUGGAUCCCUUACUUUAUUCAGAUCUCAUCUCAAGGUCGCUGCCUCAGGGAACCCUUCCCUGGUUACCCAGCUAAAGUGCCACUGCCACCGUCACCCCCAGCACUGUAAUCUUUCUUCCUGACUUGCCAUCAUAGUAUACACUUAUUUGUUUGUUAAAUGUCUGUCUCCUUUCUUAGAAUGUCCCCUUCCUCAGGACAUUCAAGAUGCUCCCUUAGCACCCAGCCUGGGCCUGGCACUCAGCAGGUGCUCCACAACGAUUUGCUGAAUCAGUGAAUGGGUGGGCAGCAGGGGUGACAUGGCCUACAUCAUGCCUCAGCCAACCUCAUAUUAUAGCCCCCGUUUCUCCAGCCGAUGGCUCGAGGAUGGUGCCCACAUCACACUUUGUCCUCCUCAGACUGCAGUUGGAGGGGGCUUCGCUGGCUACCCUGUUGAGUGGCCCCCUGGCCACCCAAAUCCCAUCCAGACCCCGUACCCAGCUCCCUGGCAGCACUCACUGUGAGCCUGACUUGUUUUGUUUAUUCCCAUAUUUAUAGUCAGUCAGGCUCUC